AUGAAUGGUUCAAUGACGGGGAAAUUAGCAACUAGGGUUUCGGAUAUUGAAACCUCAGUUGUCGCUUAUCCUUCUACAACAACUUUGCGACUGAGUUCUUCUUUUUGUAAAAUUCGCUCCCCUCGGUACUGUUGUUGUCCAUGUUCUUCUGUGAAUUUCGUUUUAAUUUGUAGCAACUUUGAGGCUUCAGAAAAAUAUGAAAACGGUUAA